UCUUAUUAUUUACAAUACAUAGAUAUGCAGUAUAUGUUUAAAUCAUUUCUUAAUAUCCAUAUGGUAAUGUUUUAUAAUCGGACCAAACUUUUUCCCACAAAUGUCACAUUCAUACAUCUCAUGCUGCUUGGACUGUCGAUGAUGUUUUGAACCAUGUACUUUACUUUCCAUCUUUCCUCGUUCGUGGUUCACAAGUGAAUGAGUAUCUGCAAAAAA
rnacentral:lncRNA from 1 species